rnacentral:tmRNA from 1 species
GGGGCUGAUCAGCUUCGACGUUCGGACAUUCACACGCAUAUGGUGCAGACCGGAGGCAAACGUUAGCUUCCAAGUUGCAAAUCAAAUCGCAACGCUUUUUCGCGGGUGAUGGACGCUUUCCGCGCUCCUUCAUUCGCACCCGCUUUUGCCUAAUAAGCAUUAGCCAUCACGACCUGACGCCAGAUGGGGGUUCCGUGGUGUCACUUUAUCUGGUUGCUCUAGCUGGCGUGCCGACACCAGUUAGCUAAGAUUUUCGGCUGCUCGCUUGUGGGGUUUUGUCCAUUCACACCCGCUGCGCUAAGACCUUUAAAUGGACUAUGUCUGUAGUGCCUAUGCCUGUGACCGGGCGGACCGGGGUGCAAUUCCCCGCAGCUCCACCA